GGUUUCCGUAGGUGAACCUGCGGAAGGAUCAUUACUGAGGGCGUGUGGGUUUUAAUAACUCCGCG
rnacentral:rRNA from 3 species